rnacentral:rRNA from 1 species
AAUGAACGCUGGCGGCAGGCCUAACACAUGCAAGUCGAACGGAUCCUUCGGGAUUAGUGGCGGACGGGUGAGUAACGCGUGGGAACAUACCCAAAGGUACGGAAUAGCCUCGGGAAACUGGGAGUAAUACCGUAUGUGAUCGAAAGAGGAAAGAUUUAUCGCCUUUGGGUUGGCCCGCGUUGGAUUAGGUAGUUGGUGGGGUAAUGGCCUACCAAGCCGACGAUCGAUAGCUGGUUUGAGAGGAUGAUCAGCCACACUGGGACUGAGACACGGCCCAGACUCCUACGGGAGGCAGCAGUGGGAAAUCUUAGACAAUGGGGGAAACCCUGAUCUAGCCAUGCCGCGUGAUCGAUGAAGGCCUUAGGGUUGUAAAGAUCUUUCAGGUGGGAAGAUAAUGACUGUACCACCAGAAGAAGCCCCGGCUAACUCCGUGCCAGCCGCCGCCGUAA